UACGUAGGGGGCAAGCGUUGUCCGGAAUUAUUGGGCGUAAAGAGCGCGUAGGCGGUCCGAUAAGUCGGCUGUGAAAGUCAGGGGCUCAACCCUUGGAAGCCGGCCGAUACUGUCGGACUAGAGUCCGGAAGAGGCGAGUGGAAUUCCCGGUGUAGCGGUGAAAUGCGCAGAUAUCGGGAGGAACACCAAUGGCGAAGGCAGCUCGCUGGGACGGUACUGACGCUGAGGCGCGAAAGCGUGGGGAGCAAACGGG
rnacentral:rRNA from 1 species